AAAAUCUUGGUUGCUUUCCUCUCAUGCAUAUAUCACAUGAUUUUUAUGGUGCCAUAAUCUUAGGAAUCCCAUGUACCAGAUUCUUUGAACUCAAAUACCCUAAGCUUAUGUAUUUCAGAUGCCCCAAUCUCUUGUGCCACAACUCACUUUCCCCUUCAACACUUCUUGCACUAAGGAUUGAAUCUCUGUUGUUGCAACAUUCACCUUAAAU
rnacentral:lncRNA from 1 species